GGGCAGAACUUAGAACCUCUGGAUGAAUAGAGACGAGGUAAAAUUCUGGCACCUAUCCACAGCCUGAACCUUGGAGAGCACCUCCCUUUCAUAUGACUUCUGCAAAGGGCAUGUUUCAGCUCACAGGGACAAAGAGUCACUGCACCAGAGAACCAGAAAGAGUGAAGAAAUGUUUGUCCCCGGUGCUGAGAACACCACAGAUGAUCUUUCUGCCCAGAGCCACCAUCUUGUCUCUAAAUAUCAGGGUUAUCAAUGCCUGGCCAUCUCUUUUCAAUUUGGGACAACUGCCAGCGACCACUAGCUAGCUCCAGAAUUCCUCAGAUGUUUCAGGAAACUGCCACAACCUUGUAGAGCACAGUUUGAAAGCUACUGCUGAAGAAAUAUGCCAUCUUGAAGGCUUUUUAAACACGGGAUUUGCAAGAUAGGGUUCGCAUUUUAGAAACAUUAUUCUGCUUGCUACACUACUGAGUUUGGAUGAGGGAGACUUGAAGGCAAGGAGCUCUGUUAUGAAAUAACUACGCUUUUCUUACAGAAGAAGACUAUAAUAGACUGUAUCAAAAAUGUCUACGUUCCAUAGCAUUGGUGGAACCAUGCAUUACGUCUGAGGACAAGGACGGGAACCUUCUGUGGCGUGCUGUCAACAGCUUUAAAUAGGCAUUGAGUUUGAAGAUAGAGCACAUGAAGGGCAUGUUACAGCAGAGCUGAAGGGAGAACAGUUGAUGGGGCUUGGUGAUCAACUGAUUUGGAGAGUAAAGCAAUGAGAAGAAUGACAUUCAUGAUUUGCUCCUUGGCACUUCUUUCUAAGGUUAGGGAUCAGAAAGAAACAUAAUUGAGUUCCUGCCAAAUUGAAUAUGCAGAAAGGGCACUGAUAGGGGGAUCAGUUCCUUACUUCUACCAUGAGACAGGCAAGAUAAAGAAGAGUUGAUAAUUUCUGCACCCAUCUUACUUCCUGCCCACCACAGAGCGGUUCACCCAGUGGCCUGGUUGGAUGUUAGCCAUUGGCAGGGCAAGAAAUCCAACAAUCGACUGUAGAAGAAUUCCAGAGAAUCAGUAUGGAUCUCUUUCACACAGACAAAGUCUUGUUCCAGCUAAUCUUAGGCUCCUAUGUGAGAGGAAAGAUGCUGGGAGGCCAGCACGGUGGCUCACACCCAUAAUCCCAGCACUUUGGGGGGCCAAGGUGGGCAGAUCCCUCGAGCCCAGGAAUUCAAAACCAGCCCGGGCAACAUAGUAAUAACCCCCAUCUCUACAAUAAAUUAAGAAAAAUAAUUAGCCAGAUGUGUUGGUGCAUGCCUUAGUCCUAACUACUCUGCAAGCUGAGCUGAGAGGAUCACUUGAGCCCAGGAGGUCAAGGUUGCAAAGAGCCAUGAUCCUGUCCCUAGGCAACAGAACGAAAAAGAUGUGAGAAAUACUCAAAGUCUUGGUCUUUACCCAGAAGAAUCAGAGCAAGGAAAAGAAAGAUCUCUUUCCCCAGUUCGACAUCCAUCUUCCUAAAUUUGGACAAAGGGAUCCUAAACCACAGCGUCCUACAGUGAGUCAAAACGCCCAUGCACUGAUUCUCAUCUCACUGGAGGUCACAAAAACACCAUGGGAGACGAUGAUGUCUUUUCCUUUUUGUUAUCUUGAUAAAGCUUCAUACAUGAACACUUCACUCUGUCUCGAUUACUACAUGGUGAAUUGAAGUUUCAGUAGAGAGGGAGUUGAGCUGAUACUGAGGAGAUAAAUACCCAUCACUGUAUACAUCUACUUCUUGGAAUUUGCAAGGGAACCAGUCAACAGAUUUUUCAAGCCUUAUAAGUUUAUCCGCCUGAGAAGUUCACCAGCUACAUAACAUCCUGGACUCUGGAGCCCAAGAGAUGUGUAGUUGCCAUUUUGGAGCCAUUUUCUUUAAUAAAUAAGUAGUGAGGCUGCCAUUCUUGUCAAAAUUGAGGACCACAACCCUACUCAUGAAACUGAAAGAUUGUUUGUUAUGAGGAGUUCUGUUUGAGCCAUACAAGCAAUGUAUCCUUUUUAAAGAAAUGUAUCCGGAAUCUUAGGUGUUCAUUGCUCCAAGCCAAGUGCAG